rnacentral:lncRNA from 1 species
AGGAAAGAAUAGCUUCAGUGGCUUCAGAGGCCAUCCCAGGGUCAGGCAUGGAGUCUAUUGCUGCCGGAGCUGCUGAGUCAUUGCCACCUUGGGAGCUGCUUGACCUCUGCUUGGUUUACCUAGAAGGUAGAGGGAAGCCUUCAGCUGAGAACACUCCACAAGCAAGGCUUCUAAUCUCGAAGUAUCCACUGACUUUCCCUAGCACCUGAACCCAAAGCAUUUAAGGAUUACCAAUCUACAUAAGUUACAUUAGAAUACCAAAACACUGAUCAGUUUAAAAAAAAAAACAAAAAACCAAACACCCAAAAACUCACUGUAUUCUUCACAAGGGAAACACUACCAAAAAAAGCAGCAAAUAUAAACACUAUCUUCUAGUCCCUUUUGAAUAUGGAUUUCAUCUCCUAAGGGCAGUAAAAACAUAGAUCAGACAGCACUUCUCUAAAAGAGAUGCUUAUUCAAUACCUUCAAUAGUCAUCCAAAGCAGGAUGUAAAAAGGCUUAGGGGUAUGUAGUGGGGUGGUGUGGAGGAAGGCAGGAAGCAGCAACAACAGGAAAAAAAAAAUUAAAUGACAGUCAAGGCAUUCAUUAUACUCUAUCUUAAAGGCGGGAG